GCAAAAUCGACUAUGUUGAUUAAAGUUCUGAGUAGAAUAUGAUGAUGACAUUUUCUAUUAUGUGUCUUGACCAAAUUACGUGCCAGCAGUCGCGGGAAUACGUAGAAGACUAGUGUUAGUCGUCUUUAUUGGGUUUAAAGCGUACCAAGACGGUUAAUUAAGCUUAUCAGAAGAUCAGGUACUGAUUAACUAGAGUUAUAUGUAAGGGGGCUUUAAGGUACUAAUGAGUGUAGAGAUAAAAUUCUUUUAUACCUUGAUGAAAAAAGGCACAGAUUUAGGCGAAGGCAUUUUCUAAUGUAAUAACUGACGUUGAAGGACGAAGGCUCUUAUAGUAAACAGGAUUAGAUACCCCAGUAGCCCGAGCAGAAAAUGAUGAAUGUCAUAGGUUAGAUAUAAGGUUUAGUCUAUAAAUGAAAGUGUAAGCAUUCCACCUCAAGAGUAAUUUGGCAACAUUGGAACUGAAAUCAUUAGACCGUAUCUGAAACCAGUAGUGAAGUAUGUUGUUUAAUUUGUUGACCCGCAAAGAACCUUACCACAAUUUGUAUUUAUUACACAAGCGUUGCACGGUUGUCGCAAGCUAAUGUCGUGAGACCUGGAUGGCCUACUAAAUUAACUAAAACCCGAACUUUAUUUAUAGAUAAAGUUGUUCGCCGAUAAUCGGCUGCGAUAGCGGGCACUAAG
rnacentral:rRNA from 1 species